CACAGCGGCCUUGGGUUUGGGCUCCAGCCCCAGCCGGGCCCCCUCGCGCCGCUGCGGCUGCUGCGCGGUGAGGUCGUGACAAGUCACAGCUAACUUGCCCUCCGCGCCAUUCCACGCCACCAGGAAGCGCAGCCGGUGCCUCUCGGCAUCGGCGAAGAGGCCUUGCCGGACCGGCGCCCAGCCCUCCAGGCUGUCGAGCUGCUCGUCCUCCAUGGCCGUCGGCGGCAGCGGCCCUAGGACUCGGCGGGCGCGGGCCUGACCUCGUCGCACUGCCUGUCAGGGGACAGUCCCAGGCAUAACUGAAGGUGAAAGGACAGAAUCACCGUGUGUUACUGGCACAGAUGCAUCGGCUAGUGAAGAAAGAAGACAUUCAAACUGGCUGAAGCAGUGCCUACUCAAUAGAACCAGUCAUCGUGCAAAGACAUGCCACCUGACUCAAAGGCAAAGCCAGAGUGCAGCUUGGAGCAAAGAAGGCCUGGCUGCGCGCUGCUGUGUUCUGGAAAGGCGCAUUGUGCCCUCGCUGUGGCAGGUAAGAGUCCUGUACAGGUGCUCUGCCCACUUUACCUUUCAGGCUUCUGUAUCAGCUGUUUUUCCCUUGUAGAAUGUGCCCCUGACCUGUGCCCCUGACUUCCACCCCUUAACCCUGCCCAAUACAUCUUUACAUGUCUGACCAUCAAGACUCUUCUGGGUCAUAUUCAGUUCAUGCUGAUAUUUUCCCUUCCUCCCCUCUUUAGUCCUUACUAUUUUUGCUUUGGUCAUGUUAUGCUAUAUUCUGUAAGCCUUUAAAAAUUUUGUUGUAUCAUGGCAGGGGAGAAUAUUUUAUAAUUAUGCUUUGUGCGUUUUAUCUUCCACUCAAUGAAUGCUUGGUAAAUAUUUGUUUUAUUGAGUAUAUGACCCUUUUCUAGCUAUACCGUGAACAAAAAUGUUAACUGCCUUGUACGUUAACUGCUAAGAAUUUGUCAAAAGUGCAGAGAUGACAUCCAGAACUUGUCAGAAUAUUACAAAAAGGUCUCUAAGGGCAUGAUGGAGGUCUGUAAAUUGACUUCAUGUGAAAGAGUGUAAGAAGUGAAAAUGUGAAGCAUGACUGGAGAGCCGGAGUGAUAAAGCAAGGGUCCCUUUCUCUAGAUCCUUUGUAACAGUGUCAUGUGACCUCUUCUAGAUCAUUCUGAAAGACAAUGCCAGCUCGGAACCUAGGAAAGCAUCCAGUGGGUUUCUGCAUGUUAGGUGGUUCAAAUCCUCAUUAGCACCUUUGUUUUCUCUGCCUCAGUUUGCUUACAGUGAUGUUCUCAGUAGCUGUAAUUGCUGUCUGUCUUUGAAUAUUUAAGCAUUUUUUUUUUUUAGAUCACAGGGUAUAUGUGCAUUUUUAUUUUACCAAGUGUUAGAAUUUUUACUCUGCCUUUGUGGGCUCUGGGUUAGCUACUUGGCUGUUUCAUCGUAAAAUGAUUAGCAGGAAAAACUGUGUGUGUGUGUGUGUGUGUGUGUGUGUGUGUGUGUGUGUGUGCACGUGUGUAUUUUAAGUUUCUUAAUUGGGUUGGUACAUGUAAACCAUUUAGAACAGUGCCUGCUGCAUAUCACAUCCCCAUCAGUAUUCACGUCUCUCAUAUUCUACCCUCACACUUGAUUGAUAGUUUGCUUGAUUACGUAUUUCUAGGUUGAGGAUAAUUUUACCUUAGAAUUUCAAAGUCUGUGCUGUUGUCUUCUAACCAGUCGUGGUGGCGAAGCCUCAUGCCAUCCUGAGUUUCACUUGUUUAUGCAUGACUUUCUCCCUGGAAGCUUUUAGGAGUUUGUCUUUUCCUUGGUGAGCUGAAAUAGCACAACAGUGUACUUAGUGUGGGUCUUUUUUCAUUCAUUAUGCUGGGUACACCAAAUGAACAGGCCUAUGGAUAGGCUCUUUCAAAGUUGGAGUCUUGAAUCUUGUCAUAUUUUUGUUGUUAACUUUCUCUUUUCCAUUUUAUUUGUUCAUUUGGAAGUGUCUGUUAAUUGGAUUUGAGACCUCUUGUCUUGAGUCUUAUAUCUCACGUUAUUUCUAAAUGUUUUUUAAAUUUUCAGUUCUGGAAUAUUUUCUUAUCUUUCGACUUUCAGGAAAUUUUAUUUGGACUGUCAUAACUUUAAGUUUUGUUUUGGUUAUUUAUUGUUGCUUAACCAAUUAUCCCAAAACUUAAUGGCCUAAAACUACACAUCUGUCUAUCUGUCACGACUGUAUGGAUUACCUGGGGCUAGCUGGACAGUUUUUCUGCUGGUCUCAUUUGGCAGCUCUCACUGUGUGGUUAAACAGUGUCAGGGACUGGUCAUCUGGAUGCUCAGCUGCAGUGGAAUGUCUGAGACGGCUUCUUUACCCACAGGUCUGCUGCCUUGGUAAUUCUUGAUGUGGCCUUUCUCUCUGCAUAGCAUCUCAUCCUCUCGGAUCUCUUCAUGUGGCUUUUCUUUCUCCAAGAAGGUAGCCAAUUCUUAUUUUUGGCUUCCAGAAGCACAGAAAUGGAGCUGCCAGGAGUUCUUAAGGCUUAGACCUGGAACAGGUCCAGUGUCAUUUCUACCACAUGCUAUAGGUUAAAGUGAGUGUUGGGGCCAACCCAGAUUGACUAUGGGAUGGGCCUGUCUGAGGACAUGAUGACAGGAGGUAUGGCUCAUUGGAGACCAACUCCCAAGAUGGAGCAUGAGUUCUAAGAACUUUUUCUUCUCUGAUUAUUUCUUAUUCAUAUUGUUUUGUUUUAUACAUGUAAUAUAUUCACAAGUGUCUUUAUGAAGUGAUUUUGAUACUC
rnacentral:lncRNA from 1 species